CCUACGGGACGCAGCAGUGGGGAAUAUUGCACAAUGGGGGAAACCCUGAUGCAGCGACGCCGCGUGAGUGAGGAAGUAUUUCGGUAUGUAAAGCUCUAUCAGCAGGGAAGAAAAAAUGACGGUACCUGACUAAGAAGCACCGGCUAAAUACGUGCCAGCAGCCGCGGUAAUACGUAGGGGGCAAGCGUUAUCCGGAUUUACUGGGUGUAAAGGGAGCGUAGACGGCAGCGCAAGUCUGGAGUGAAAUGCCGGGGCCCAACCCCGGAACUGCUUUGGAAACUGUGCAGCUCGAGUGCAGGAGAGGU
rnacentral:rRNA from 1 species